AGAGCUGGGCGGCAUGCUUUACACAUGCAAGUCGAACGGCAGCGCGGACUUCGGUUUGGCGGCGAGUGGCGAACGGGUGAGUAAUACAUCGGAACGUACCCAGAAGUGGGGGGUAACGCAGCGAAAGUUGCGCUAAUACCGCAUACGUUCUACGGAAGAAAGUGGGGGAUCUUCGGACCUCAUGCUUUUGGAGCGGCCGAUGUCUGAUUAGCUAGUUGGUAGGGUAAAGGCCUACCAAGGCGACGAUCAGUAGCUGGUCUGAGAGGACGACCAGCCACACUGGAACUGGGACACGGUCUAGACUCCUACGGGAGGCAGCAGUGGGGAAUUUUGGACAAUGGGCGCAAGCCUGAUCCAGCAAUGCCGCGUGAGUGAAGAAGGCCUUCGGGUUGUAAAGCUCUUUUGUCAGGGAAGAAACGGUUCCGGCUAAUAUCUGGGGCUAAUGACGGUACCUGAAGAAUAAGCACCGGCUAACUACGUGCCAGCAGCCGCGGUAAUACGUAGGGUGCAAGCGUUAAUCGGAAUUACUGGGCGUAAAGCGUGCGCAGGCGGUUUUGUAAGUCUGUCGUGAAAGCCCCGGGCUCAACCUGGGAAUUGCGAUGGAGACUGCAAGGCUUGAAUCUGGCAGAGGGGGGUAGAAUUCCACGUGUAGCAGUGAAAUGCGUAGAGAUGUGGAGGAACACCGAUGGCGAAGGCAGCCCCCUGGGUCAAGAUUGACGCUCAUGCACGAAAGCGUGGGGAGCAAACAGGAUUAGAUACCCUGGUAGUCCACGCCCUAAACGAUGUCUACUAGUUGUCGGGUUUUAAUUAACUUGGUAACGCAGCUAACGCGUGAAGUAGACCGCCUGGGGAGUACGGUCGCAAGAUUAAAACUCAAAGGAAUUGACGGAAGGGCG
rnacentral:rRNA from 1 species